rnacentral:rRNA from 1 species
AGGUGUUAUUAUACCAGCGUUAAUGUAUAGGAGAAUUUCUUAAUUAAACGUCAUCGGAUUAAAGUAGUAUUGGGAUGGGUGAACUCUCCAAAAGUCCUAGUGUUACACUUU